UAACAUACGCGGCCAAAGCACGGCUUUACGUCGGGCUUGAUAGUGUGAGGAACAUUUUGGUACAUCCGGGAGGGUGAUCAACGGAUCGCCGCCAACCAACACCCUCUCGGUUUGCUAGC
rnacentral:sRNA from 12 species